UGCUGUGGAAAUCAGCAGACGGCAUUUUUUAAUUGGACCGCCGAGAGAGGCAGCGGGGUCGAUGGGACACGAUUGGAUGGCAUCGCUCCUCCCGUGUUCUAGAGAGUUCUGAGUGGGAAUGUUGUCGAGGAGGCGCGGCCGCUCCCGCACACCGGCUGACAGCGGGGAUCAGUCGCCCGUCGCACCCGAGAGUCGCCCAGGGAGAGGCCAGCCCGCUGCGUUAGCCACAGCCACUGUCACCAGAGGCCCAUAAGACGACAGUCUUUGAGUUUAACGCAGUUGUUUGACGUGAAAGUUAAACAGAAAAACAACAGGUACAGAAUGAGGCCGCUGACACGCCGGCUCCCCUCGGCCAAGCCAGACUGCGGCUCGCACUCUCAGGAUUUUUCUGGGCAAAAAGUUGCCAGUGUGCCAUGUGGAGAACGGCUCGAAUGGCGUCUUGAGAGCUUUGUGUGCGUGUUACAAGGAAGAGAAAGUAAUGGUCCAGAAAGUUCCCAGCCUCCCGAGUCAGAGGCGACACGCCCUCCUGCGCCGGAGCUGCGGCCGACGGCCAGUGCACUCCCCUGCCCUCAAACGUUAACAAAACUGGGGGAACCGCGGUAUUGUAGGAACGACAGUAGCCGAAUUGAACUGCGUCAGACAUUAUCUUGACCGUGAACUUGCGGUUUUCUCACUUGUGUCUGUCGUGCAAAAAUAAAAAUGCAAGUUCGAUUUCGCGCAAACCUACGCGCAAAAAGACAGAGA